UACAGAGACCUCGAGCGUUAUCCGGAUUUAUUGGGCGUAAAGCGCAGGUAGGCGGUUUGAUUGGUCAGAUGUUAAAGCCCGGGGCUCACCCCCGGAAUCGCAUUUGAAACGGUCAGGCUAGAGAAUGUGAGAGAUCAGUGGAAUUCAUGGUGUAGUAGUGAAAUGCGUUGAUAUCAUGAGGAACACCAAAGGCGAAGGCAGCUGAUUGGCACAUUUCUGACGCUGAGCUGCGAAAGCGUGGGGAGCGAAUGGG
rnacentral:misc_RNA from 1 species